rnacentral:rRNA from 1 species
CCUACGGGAGGCAGCAGUAGGGAAUAUUGCUCAAUGGGGGAAACCCUGAAGCAGCAACGCCGCGUGGAGGAUGAAGGUUUUCGGAUUGUAAACUCCUUUUGUUAGAGAAGAUAAUGACGGUAUCUAACGAAUAAGCACCGGCUAACUCCGUGCCAGCAGCCGCGGUAAUACGGAGGGUGCAAGCGUUACUCGGAAUCACUGGGCGUAAAGAGCGCGUUGGCGGGAUAGGAAGUCAGAUGUGAAAUCCUAGGGCUUAACCAUAGAACUGCAUUUGAAACUGUUAUUCUAGAGUAUGGGAGAGGUAGGUGGAAUGCUUGGUGUAGGGGUAAAAUCCGUAGAGAUCAAGAGGAAUACUCAUUGCGAAGGCGACCUGCUAGAACAUAACUGACGCUGAUGCGCGAAAGCGUGGGGAGCAAACAGGAUUAGAUACCCCGGUAGUC